UCGAACGAUGAAGCCCAGCUUGCUGGGUGGAUUAGUGGCGAACGGGUGAGUAACACGUGAGCAACCUGCCCCUGACUCUGGGAUAAGCGCUGGAAACGGCGUCUAAUACUGGAUAUGUCCCGUCACCGCAUGGUGUGCGGGUGGAAAGAUUUUUCGGUUGGGGAUGGGCUCGCGGCCUAUCAGCUUGUUGGUGAGGUAAUGGCUCACCAAGGCGUCGACGGGUAGCCGGCCUGAGAGGGUGACCGGCCACACUGGGACUGAGACACGGCCCAGACUCCUACGGGAGGCAGCAGUGGGGAAUAUUGCACAAUGGGCGGAAGCCUGAUGCAGCAACGCCGCGUGAGGGAUGACGGCCUUCGGGUUGUAAACCUCUUUUAGCAGGGAAGAAGCGAGAGUGACGGUACCUGCAGAAAAAGCACCGGCUAACUACGUGCCAGCAGCCGCGGUAAU
rnacentral:rRNA from 1 species